UUUCUCAACAAUAAAAAGUUUUGUGUUAUAAUGCUCACUGUCGCGUAAGCGGCUAUAGCGAUAAACGUUAUAAGUAAUAGAUGAUUCGGACCCGGGGGCAGAACCCGGCGCCUCCACCAGAAUUGCGGGGGUGAAUUAGGCUCGACGGGCAUUGAAAGUUAUGAUUUUCGCUCGGCAUUGUACCACCGUCAUCGGGCUAAUUGAUAAGUGCAAACGAUUAUGCACUGCAUGAUAUGCGCGUAGCAGCCUAGCGGCUAACUACUAAGCGUUGAAAGCACGGUUCGGAGGGCGCCGGGUAACAGAAUGCCCUCCAA
rnacentral:tmRNA from 1 species